CACGAACUAAACCCAAAUUUUGGUUUUUUUUUUUGAUCUUUGAUCUUUGGUUUUGAUCGCACCACUGCAGUUGCUCUAAAGGAACACAAUUAUUGUCUGCUCAAUCAUGAAAUUAGGGUGUAUUCUCCUAGGUUAAUGUCACUAAAAUUCACUGGUUAUGCUGAAAAGAGCAUUUAUGUCGAAAACAUGUCAUCACUAGUCAUGCUACAAUAGACUUAAAGUUUAAUUUUGGCAUACGAGCAGAAAUAGAUUCCAAUUAUUUGAUUAAGUUUCUUGAGGGCAUCUCUCAUACAAAAGUUUUAACACUAUCCUCAUCAAGCAUAGAGGUAUGUGUCCUUUCAUCUCUUUCUUUUUUCUGAAGGUUUUUAGGUUUCUUUUUGAUUCUAACACGGUGUUUGAUCUUAUUAGUACUAGAGGUUUCGUCGUAACUGUGAUCUUUCUUGUCUUCUGUUAACAGCUACUAUGUGAAACUUCGACAUUGUUAGGAAAAACCUUCACAUUUUCAAGUUUGAACCAUUUGAAGUUGACUGCUGCCGUUAACAAAGAAACUGUUAAACGUGUAACCUUCUUGCUUCAUAGUUCUCCGAAAUUGGAGUUCCUUUCCAUAGACUUCUUUCUACGUCGACAGGGAAUCAAUGAAGAAGAAAGUUUUGAGCCACAAACCACAGCUUUCGAAUACUGCAUUGAUAACCUUAAGGUCGCCAAGAUCAAGGGUUUUAGAGGAAAUGAAAACGAAAUGGCAUUGGUGAAAAGCUUGCUGGAGAAUGCAAUGAUCCUAGAGAAGAUGAUUAUCGUUUUCUUGAAACAGAUUUCAGCUAACUCAAAACUGCAGAAUCAGAUUUACCUUGACAUCCUACUGCAUCCAAGAGGCUCACCGAGCAGUGAAGUUGUCUGUGAAUUGUGAAUCUCUCUUUUAUCUGAACUUUUACUUGCUUAGUCUACACAACAUGCACAGGGUCCUGUGUAGUAAAAGUAUCAUUUUUGGUACAUACUUGAUGCUAUCAAUUUGCAAAUAAACGCACUCAGAAGAAUUAUAUUUUUCCAUCUUCAGCUUAUUGAAGUAUUUGGGAUCCAGCUUAUCUACACCUCA